CAAGACCUAACAGAGUCUGGAACCAUUGCAAGUUUGCAAUGUAUACGACAUGGCAAGCACAACACGAUGAGAAGUCAGAGAAGAUGUGGAGCGAAAUUGACGUCACCAAAAUGUAGAUCGAUUCAAAGAGCUUGGAUAGGAUCUUCGCCUCUGGUGCCGCAAUGGCAGAGUCUGGCUCCGCCUCGCCGCGGAUGCAGCCACUCGCAAUGACCUUUUAGAUGAUGUCAAUGGCAAGAUUGGCGAUCUUGAGGAUGCCAGAGCCGACACCAUUGAUGAACAGUGUGAGGAUCGACUCGAACUCUGCUAAGGAGAACUCCAGCAUAUCGUCGUCAUGGAGCGGGUGAAUCAGCAGGGUCUAAAGAAGACGAAGGAAUCCACCAUCCACUGGCUCAAUAGAGACGUCAAUUGAGGACAAAAUACAAAGAACCAAGACUUGUAAUAAAAAUAUCAGCAACUAGAGAGAAGCUUGUAGCAAAGUGGAAAAAAGUGAGUUCAAGUUUCAUAAGUAUUAAUUCCAUCAUUGUCUGCCUCGUUAUGUAGUGAAGCUUGUUAUACCUUGGAGUUAUGUCUAAUAUUAGAAUUAUUGUACCUCUGUUCUUGUAUCAAUUCUAGUACUCACAUGUGUUUAUACUACACAACUUUAGUGGAGUUGUACCCUUAAGAAUUAGUGAGGGGGUUAGGUAUACAUUGUUUAGAAAGUAACAGUAAAACUACUAAGUAAAAUAAGAAAAUCAUUAUAAAAAAGAUGAUUUUUCUGUCAACCUAUUCCUAAGAUUGAAAUUGAGUUAUGAAGGAGAUUGAAGAGGUUUCUUUGCCUACUUAGACCCUUGAUAUCAUCAUAUUCUUAGUUUAAAUUUUUCAAUCUCACAAGGACAUGGUCUAGGAUCAUUCUCAUAUAAGUUUGUACUCCAAUAACACUAUAAUUUUCCUUUUUUUGGUAAGAAUGAAUUGAUUAAACUGUAAUGCCUCCAGCGGCUAUGGUGAAAUAGGUGAACAAUUGGUGAAAAUGAAACAGAGGUUGAUUUUGCAAGUGCUUGAGAUUGGGAUAAAUUUUCACUUUUACUGCAGAGUAAGCUAGACUACUAACUGGUUCAUUUAAUUUUAUUGGCCUAAACUAUUACUCUAUUUUAUAUGCCUCUGACGCACCUCAACUAAGCAAUGCCAACCUUAGCUACUUAACUGAUUCUCUUGUCAUUGUUGCAUAUAAGUACUUCAUCAAUUUUCUAAUAUUCUAUCGGUACCCUAAAUUGGAUGCAUACAUAGUUGAAUAUGAUCUUGACUAACAAACAAUAGGCUGUGUUUUUUUAUUUUUGAUUCAUCAUGCAUUAACUUUGUACUUUAAAUUUAGUCCAUAAGAAGCAUACAUCCUUUGAUUUACCAGAAUUUUACUACCAGUUUAUUUAUGUAUUUAUCUAGUUAAAAAUGAAUUUUCUCUUAUGAAACUUUUGUAUCUUUGUUGUUUGGGUUGAUAUUGUAGAAUUUGAAGUAUUAAAGUGGAGUUAAAGUUAUGCAUUUGAAUUUCUAAAUAUUGUAGUCCUGUCAUAGUAGCAUGCAUUUUAUUUCAAGUUUAACAACUUACUACUUUAUUCCAAAGUUGCAUAUUUAUGCCCAGGCCAUUUGGAGAAGUCAAAACUGGAAUCGUCUUUGAAAGCUCUGAAGGACAGAUUCAUGACCAUAAAUGUGGUUGAGUAAAUAGCUGAGAAAUUAUGUGGAUAUGUGGCAGCAAGUCUAAAAGGCAAAUUGAAUAGUGUAUUUUAUGAUGAGUAGUGUAUUUUUUUUAAUAUUUUGAUAGAAAAUGAAUAAUAUCUGGAAAUAAAUAUUUAUUUGUUAU